UUUUUUGGAAGCUGGGCAAGCCCUUUCAAUGAAAGUGAUUUUCGCCAGUCUGGACAUGGAAAAAUACACGUAAAUACAUGGUGUUUCCACAUAAAACUUCCCUGGGUGUUUCGAAAAUUUCUGUUAUAAUGGAGUGGAUAUCAUUGAUUUGUCCAAGAAACACAAACCAGAGAUACUCAUCAUGAGAGAGCUGAGCAAUUUACCAGCACCAUCAUCAAGCAAACUGCAAAUCUAUCCUUGUCACAGAGCGAGAGGAUACUUAAGAUCAACCCAAGAACAUCUUUAAGUAUUCACAGGAUACUGAGCUUGCUGUGCACUGCUGCAGCCCCCUGCAUAGGGUGUGUUUUUCAUCCUUAAAAAGCUUCUGUACACAGAGGUGGCUAUUGUACCCUGAACAGUGUCUUGCUAAGGGGCAAUCACCACCUGGCUAAUAA
rnacentral:lncRNA from 1 species